rnacentral:lncRNA from 1 species
UAGGUUGCCUGUGUCUGUACCCCGUUUCAUCUUCACUUCUGGGAACCAGGCUGAUGGAGAAGUCUUCUAGCAGAAGUACUAUGGGUCAUGAUGGCAGAAAGAAGAGCAAACUUGGUGGACCAUGUGCUGGCCCUUGAUGGGUCUACUCAGAUGGGUCACGUAUCUCUGCUCACAAGAUAAUCAGCAAAGGAGAGAUUGAUGACUGGGGACGCAAUGAACUAAAAA